GUCAACAGGCCUCGUAAGAGUUGUCGAUUGGACUGGAGUGAAAGACCAAUAAGGAAACGAAGAUAAAGAUGUUGAUAAAGGGCUGCAAUGAACUCUUGAAUGCUCAAGUGAAGAAAGCAGUACAUGGUACCAAGAAUCAUUCCCGUCUCCUCUUUAAAGAUCUGGCUGCUGGAAGGCCAGUUUCCCCAGUGAAAGGAUGAGAUUUGGAUCCCAGGAGACAUCUGGUGUGUUUUCUCCAUCAUACUUUCUUCUGCUCUGCUGGAUCUGAAAGCGGACAAAGUGUGUGUACAUCUGUGUCAGAGUCUUGGGAGAUUCCUGCAGUGAUUCAGCAUGAGCCCUGUGUUUCAGUUUCAGUAUGUUCUGGAGAACAUUGGCUGAAAUCCAGCAGAAGACUGGGAUGUGGCACAUAAUAAAGAGACUCUUUGACUGUUUAAUGUGAUCAAUGAUUUCUCUGGCCUGAUUCUGAUCUGUGAGUCUCUUUCUGAAGUACUCCUCCUUUUGGCAAUCAUUGAAUCCUCGUAUCUCUGUCAGCCGGUCGAUACAGUCAGCAGGAAUCUUACUGGCAGCUGCUGGUCUGCUGGUGAUCCAGAUGAGAGCAGAAGGAAGCAGAUUUCCCUUGAUGAGGUUCGUCAGGAGAACAUCCAGAGAGACUGCUGAAGAUACACCACAACAUGUCUUAUUACCAGCAAAGUUCAGAGGAAGACGACAUUCAUCCAAUCCAUCAAGGAUGAACAGGACUUUGAAUUGUGUG
ensembl:processed_transcript